AAGAAUAUUAUCUUUAGUUUCAAUGUAGUCACAAUUUAUGCUUCACUGGGCCUUUAAGUAUUACAUGGGACACAAAUGUGAGACAAUUCCGUCGAACGAUAAAAUUGUUGCAGGGGAAGGGAGGGUAAGAUGGCUAGUCGGGUAAGAUGACGAAUCGUUUGUUGAAAGGCUCAACCACCAGAUAUCGCCGAUUUCUACAGUUGAAUUACGCGCUAUUAGGAUACCUCCCACCCCCGUGGUACUCGCGCAUGUUUGGUGCUUCCAUAUUAUGGGUGCUUCACAAGUCAGCCAUGCCAGUUACUUAAAAAACUCGUGCAGUUGUUGUAAUAUUUUCAUUCACUUAAAUAGUGUAUAAAUUGAAAACGUGUUGCAAAAAUACCGAUAAUGGGCAAAACCUAUCACAGGAAAACAAAUAGACAGGGAUGGUCUCGCGAAUGUAUGAUUGAAGCUUUAAACAAAGUAAAGCAGGGAGAUUCAGUAAAUGCCACGGCAAAGAGGUUUAACAUACCGGAAGCGACUUUAAGACGUUAUGCCAAAACUAUCCCAAUAACAAUUUCCCUACAAGUGCUGGACGAUUUAAAACCACAUUUUCUGAAGAUCAAUUCCUGAAUCUUAAAAAAUACGUUGAGGAUGUAGAUAGAAGAGCUUUUUGAGUUACUAGGGAACAGUUUGCCCGAAUUGCUUUCGAUUAUGCGGAAUCACUUAACAUUCCACAUAGAUUCAAUAAAGAUAAGAAAAGAGCAGGAAAAGAUUUUGUUCAAGCCUUCAUGACAAAAUUUAAUUUUUCACUAUGUAAACCCGAAGUACUGCUGCCAGGUUGGCUGCCUUUAACAAAAAUUGUUAUAUUCGGAGCUUAGGCUGCUGAAAUUAUAAUAAAGGUAAUUCUAUUAAACAUCUUUAUUAUUGAUUGAACCGAUGUCGUCUGUAGGUUGACGUCCGGUAGUGGCGCAUGUACCUAACUUGUACAUUAUGUUACAUCUCCCUUUCAACAAGAUAACUUCGAUUACAAAUUUAAACUAAUGCUAAUUUACUUAACCUAUACAUAAUCCUUAUAUCUAAUAGGCAUUUUGAUUUCUCUUUUUAAUCGUUUUGUACUUGGUUCCGAGUUUACCUCACGAUUUUUGCAUUUAUCACUUCCACCAUCACUAUUGUCACCUUCACUUUGAUUUUCCACCUUACCAUCUACAGCUACACUAUUUUCUACCUUAUCAUCUACGCUAUUUUCUACCUUAUCACUACCCUGCUCUGUACUGUUUGUCUCAUCUAUGUCAAUGUUACUAUCAAUAGUUGACCUUCGAUUUGUUAUUGAAGCUGUGCCCGCUUUUUUCAAAAACCAUGAAUUUCGUUUUAGUACUGACCCUUUUUCAUCGCACACUACAUAUGACCUGGGAGUGCUACCUUUACUAAUAAUUUUUCCAGUUCUCCAAUUUGAAUUUUGAUCAUUCUUUAUAUAGACAUGCUCAUUGUUUUUAAACUCGGGACGAGCUUUUGCAUUCCGAUCAUAGUACAACUUUGCUUUCUUUUGUCUUUGCUUUACUGCCUCUGUAUUUAUGUUAACUACUUUAGGUUUUAAUUGAGUUUUAGUAAUUGGUAAUGUUGUACGUAACAUUCUGCUAUUCAAUAAUUCUGCUGGCGACUCAUCUAAACCAGACAGUGGGGUUGCCCUAUACUCCAGCAGAUGACCAAAAAUUUCAGAGUUUGUUUCUUCACAUUUUUUUAACAUGUUUUUGCAUAUUCCUACAGCUUUUUCUGCAAGUCCAUUAGAUUUUGGAUACCUCGGACUAGCAAAACUUAGUUCCAUAUUGAUUUCUUUUGCAAAUUUUUUAAACUCUAAACUAUUAUAUGGAUUAUUAUCUGAUACAAAUUUGGAUGGAACUCCAAAGGUAGAGAAAAUUUCUUUCAGUUUGGUAAUGACUUCCUUAACAGUUUUGUUAUUUAAUUUUUUCAGUUCGAUCCACUUGCUAUAAUAGUCAACUACCACUAAAUAUGAAUUUCGAUUAAAUUCUAAUAUAUCUGAGCCUACUUUUUCAAAAGGUAAUUCUGGAGCUUCAUGAGGGAUUAGUGGCUCUUUAACGUUUGCCCUACUAAACUUUUUACAAACUCCACAGUUAGUUACAAAAUUUUCUAUGUCUGACGAAAGUCUAGGCCAAUAGAAAAGUUUCCUACCCCGCCUUUUUGUUUUUUCUAUCCCAAAAUGAACCUUGUGCAGUUGUUGUAACAUAUAUUUUCUUAAGGAUUCUGGAACAACUAGUUUAUUAUUAUAGAAAAUAAUACCAUUUUUGGUUACUAACUCAUUUUUAAUUUUAAAAUAAUGUUUCAACUCUGCAUUGUUAAAUUGACUUUUGUGGUUUGGCCACCCACUUUCACAAAAUUGCUUGACUAUUUUUAAUGUAUGAUCAGUUUCUGUUUUGUUUAUAAUCUCCUCUAACCUAUCUCUUGAGAUUGGUAAUUCCAUUUCAACACAAUGAACUACUUCUAACAUUUCAGGAUCAUCCAUCGUAUUCUUAUUUAUAUAAAAUCUAGACAAUAGAUCUGCAAUAAACAUUUGUUUUCCUGGUAAGUAUUCUAUUUUGAAAUUAUAUUUUAGUGUUUUUAGUCUCAUUCUUUGCAAUCUAGAUGUUAUUUUAUUUAUAUCUUUUUCCUGUAUUGCAACUAAAGGUUUGUGAUCUGAAUUUACUGUUAUUCGCUUUCCAUAAAUAAAUUGAUGAAAUUUAUUUAAACUAUAACAAAUGGCCAAAUACUCUUUUUCUAUUUGAGCAUAUCUUGUCUCAGUUUCGGUUAGACUUCUAGAACAGAAUGCUACUGGUUUACCUCCCUGCAACAAAGCACCACCCAUGCCAUACUGACUUGCAUCUGUUUGUACUACUAUGGGUUCCUUUGAAUCAAAUAUUUUAAGUGUUGGAAUAUUAAUAAUGCUCAAUUUUAAUUUGUUAAAUGUUUCUCUCUGUUCAUUACCCCAUAUGAACUCAACAUCAUUUUUUAUUAAUUUUCUUAGAGGACCACAAAGUUCUGAUAGUUUGGGUACAAAUUUACUCAAAUAAUUUACCAUACCUAAUAUCUUUAAUAAAUCCUUCUUAUUUGACGGCUCACUUAAACAUGUGAUCGCUUCAAUAUAAUCAGGGUCUGGUUUUACACCUUCAUGAGAAAACUCCUGCCCUAAAUACUUGACUUUACUGACCUUAUAUUGUAAUUUAUCAGGAUUAAAUUUAAUGUUGUACUGUUUUGCCCGUUCUAUAAACUUGUUCAUUAACUCAUCAUGUUCUUUUUCAUCCCUACCAGCAAUUAUGCAGUCAUCAAAAUAAAUUCCUAUUCCAAGAUUUUGAAAAAUUUUUUCAUUAAUUUUUUGAAAUACCUCAGGGCUUAUUGAUAAUCCAAAUGGUAACCUCAAAAAUUUAAAUUUACCAAAUGGGCUAAUGAACGUGCAUAAAUUACUGCUUUCCUUAUCAAUUGGUAUUUGAUAGAAUCCAUCUUUCAUGUCUACUACACUGAAAACCCUUUUGUUUUUUAAUUUUACUCCAAUUUCGUCAAUAGUGGGUAUAGGAUAUUGUUCUAAACAAAUAUUUUUAUUUAACUGUUGUGGAUCCAAACAAAUCCGCAACUUUCCAUUUGGUUUUUCUAUGAUUACAAUAUUAUUCACCCACUCAGACGGACCUUCUACUUUUUCUAUGAUACCUUUUUGUACCAGCUCCUCUAAAGUCGUUUUUAAUUUUUCUUUUAGCGAGUCUGGCACCCUUCUACAAACGCUUACAAAUGGCACAUAAUUAUUUUUUAAUUUAAUUCUAUGUUCCAUGGGUAUUUUACCUAAACCUUCAAACAAAUUUUUAUUUUCAUUUAUAAAUGCAAAUUUUAACUUUUCUUUUGGGUCCCUUCCAUUACUCCCAUUUUCUUUUAACUGACUGACAGAAUCAAGCCUUGCAACUAAAUUUAGUUUUACACAUGCAUUUAAUCCCAAAAUUGGAUCACUUUCUACAUCUACCACAAUAAAUUUUAAUUUAUACUCUGUAUUCCUUAACUUGCAAUUCAAAAUUACAUAUCCUUUUACUUUUAUUCUAUUAUUACCAUAUGUUAUUAUUGUCUGAUUUAUUUCUUUUAACUCUUUUUGUUUUUGUACUUUCUCUAACCAUUUUAAAGGCAACACAUUGCACUGUGCGCCCGUGUCUAAUUUGAAAGAAAUUUUAAUACCGUUAAUUGUUACAUUUUCCUUCCAUAGCUUAAUGCUACUUUCACACCCUAUUUUAUCUAAACUAAUUAAAUCAAUAUAACAAUCGUCAUCAUCAUCAUCGUCCUCUACACCCGCUACUUCUAAAUUAUUGAUUUUGUUUUUCUUACUACUAACAUUCUUUCCAUGCAUAAACUUAUUCUUAUUCCAAUUUUUAAAUUUACACCCAAUUGCAAAAUGAUUCAGUCCAUUACAAUUGUGACACGUUUGUCCAUACGCAAAGCAUUGUGCUAUUUGAUGAUUUCUCCCACAUUUACGACAAUCAUACGUAUUACCUGGUGUUUUUGUUGUCUUGCCACCUGUUGCUGCGAGUUGAUCUCUCUUUCCUUUUCUUAUGAUGUCUACCUUGGCAUGCUCUUCUUUUAGGCCUUCAACUUGCCUUCUGGUAACUUCGGUGAGCCUGCAGUGCUGCUCCGCAUCCUUCAAAGUUAGUUUUGUUUGCCGUAGUAACCUCUCCUGCAGCACUACAUCAGUGAUACCUAAAAUCAAUCUGUCCCGUAUUAGUGAGUCCUCCUGAUCUCCAAAAUUACAGGGCUUCGCUAAAACUUUCAAGUCUUUUAUGAAACUGUCGUAUGUUUCUUCCGUAUUCUUGUUCCUCGAGAAGAAUUUAAACCUAUCAUACGUUUCAUUAUUUCUCGGUUUACAGUACUCUUGAAAAGCUUUAAUUACUUCAUCAUACUUUGCCUUUUGUUCAUUAGUGAGACCUAGCGUUGUGUAUACUUCUUGUGCUUCUUCUCUCGCUACAUUGAGAAAUAUCGCAAUUUUUCUUUUUUCUUCGGCAGUACUUAAACCUGAUGCUUCCAUGUAUAUAUCAAAAGCAUUCUUAAACAUCUCAAAAUUCUUGUUUAAUUGUUGGUCAAACACCAAAUUCGGAGGUGGCUUGAAAGACGAUUCCAUUUUCACGUGCUUAACCUUACUUUUCUUCUUAUUAAAUUUUCAGUACUUUACUACUUGUUAUUAUUAGAUGCCUUCUUUCUUACUUUUUAAUAUUUCUUACGGUUUACACCUGACACCAUGUUAUAUUCGGAGCUUAGGCUGCUGAAAUUAUAAUAAAGGUUGACGUCCGGUAGUGGCGCAUGUACCUAACUUGUACAUUAUGUUACAAAAAUAACGUCGAAUCAUUCUUCGAUCUCUAUAAAGAAAUCCUUGCAAACAAGAAAUUUGAACCUCAACAGAUCUACAACAUAGAUGAAACUGGUUGCUCAACAGUACCCACCAAGACACCAAAUGUACUGAGCCCAACUGGAAACCGCCGAGUUGUAAAAGUCUCUUCGGGCGAACGGGGCGUGAACGUCAGUGUUGCGUGCUGCUUCAAUGCAACCGGCCACUACGUGCCCUCUUUCUUUAUUUAUCCACGUGUACGUAUGCAGUCGCACUUUUUGGCUAACGCCCCAACUGGAUCAGGAGCCGCUUGCAAUGAGUCAGGCUGGAUGAAAUCUGAAACAGUUGUCCAAUGGUUAGAACAUUUUGUAAAACAUGUUAGGCCGAGCAAUUCUAACCAAAUCCUCCUACUCAUGGACAAUCAUUCGUCGCACGUAACAUUGCAGGCUGUAAACAUGUGCCGCGAAAAUUACAUUACUAUCCUAGGAUUUCCGCCACAUACAAGCCAUCGUAUGCAGCCACUUGAUGUUGGUUUCUACGGUCCGUUCAAAACAGCAUACAGUCGUGCCUGCAAUGAUUUUUUGAUGGAACAUCCAGGACAAACCAUUGGAAUUAAAGAUGUUGCUGGUAUGUUCAACGUGGCCUACAGCACAGUAGCUACAACUCGUAAUGCUGAGAGAGCCUUUAAAUCCACAGGACUACUUCCACUUAAAAACCAGAUCCAUCUACUAAACAUGCACAAGUACGCGAAGAAACUGCUAAAAUUGCGAAAGGACAAGAAGAAAAUGAACCAUGCCAAAAUGUGAUCGAUAACAGUUCAAUGCCAAGGUUGAGAACCAAGGAAGCUUCUUCUCCUGUUCGAGCCAUUAGCCCUGUAGCUGGACCUUCUCGUAUUAUUAGCGAAGAAACGGACACUCCUCGUGUAUGGGAAAGAACCCCUACAAAAGAACCGAUAGGUUUACCACCCAUGCCAAGUGCUGCACCGAAAGUUAGAAAACAAAGGGCAAAAUUGCCUUCGCUACACAUAUCAAGUACUCCGGUGAAAAGAGAGUUGGAGAAAAGGGAAAAAGAUAAGCAAGCAAAAGAAAAAAAGAAGCAGGAGAUCAAAUUAAAAAAAGCAAGAAUAGAAAGAGAAAACAGAAACACGGCAUUGCAAAGACGGAAAGGUAAAGAAAAUAAAAAAAAUAUAUAUCCUCAACGCGAUUCAUCAUCGGAGUGUGGGUGUAUCCACGUUUAGCUUUAUGAUGUCUGAAUUAAUGUUAGUAGUGUAUCCCUUAUUACUAUGUCGCAAUGAGACAUACCUACUGCGUUCGAUUUUUUAGAAACUUUUCCAGCCAAUUCAGGGCAGUGCCUCUGACGCCGUAGCAAGACAAUUUCUGUAACAGUAGAUUAUGGUUGACACAGUCAAAUGCUUUCGUGAUAUCGCAGUAUAUCCCAAUAGGCAGUUCUUUUUUCCCUAUCGACUGAA